CGCGUAGGCGGCUUGGUCAGUCCCGUGUGAAAUCCCUCGGCUCAACUGAGGAACUGCACGGGAAACUGCCUGGCUUGAGUUCGGGAGAGGGAAGCGGAAUUCCGGGUGUAGCGGUGAAAUGCGUAGAUAUCCGGAGGAACACCGGUGGCGAAGGCGGCUUCCUGGACCGACACUGACGCUGAGGCGCGAAAGCUAGGGGAGCAAACGGGAUUAGAUACCCCGGUAGUCCUAGCUGUAAACGAUGAGUGCUGGGUGUAGGGGGUAUCAACCCCUCCUGUGCCGAAGCUAACGCAUUAAGCACUCCGCCUGGGGAGUACGGUCGCAAGGCUGAA
rnacentral:rRNA from 1 species